rnacentral:rRNA from 1 species
CGCGAACGCUGGCGGCACGCCUAACACAUGCAAGUCGUGCGCAGGCUUGUCCCUUCGGGGGCAGGUGCUGAGCGGCAAACGGGUGAGUAACACGUGGGUAACCUACCCUCAGGAGGGGGAUAACCCCGGGAAACCGGGGCUAAUACCCCAUAAUGCCGGGUGCCACUAAGGUAUCCCGGCCAAAGGGGGCCUCUGCUCUGCAUGCUCCCGCCUGAGGAUGGGCCCGCGGCCCAUCAGGUAGUUGGUGGGGUAACGGCCUACCAAACCUGUGACGGGUAGCCGGCCUGAGAGGGUGGCCGGCCACAGCGGGACUGAGACACGGCCCGCACCCCUACGGGGGGCAGCAGUGGGGAAUCGUGGGCAAUGGGUGAAAGCCUGACCCCGCGAUGCCGCGUGCGGGAGGAAGCCCUUCGGGGUGUAAACCGCUGUCGGGGGGGACGAAGGGACCGUGGGCUAAUACCUCACGGUCUUGACGGUACCCCCAGAGGAAGGGACGGCUAACUACGUGCCAGCAGCCGCGGUAAUACGUA